rnacentral:rRNA from 1 species
GCGCAGUGCGCCGGGGUGGUUCGUCCGGGUACGCGGGUGCAAGCCCUGCGCCAAACCGCUUAAGGCGAUAUAUUUUUGGUGGACUGGACUGCGGGCGGUUUAGUGGGUUUGGGGUCGCGGAGUUUGUUUCGGGGCGACGCGCACGGGGCUAGCGGCGCUCCUUGGUCGCUCUCUGGGGCCUCGGUCUCCUCCUCCUCCUCCUCUACUCGAUGAUGUUGGUCGUCGGUGGGCAGCCGCGGGGCGGCGGCGUUCCCAUGCCCCUGUUCCCGCCGAUGGGCGGCGGCCCCAUGGGAGGCCGGCCGAUGGGCGGGGGCCGCGUCCCGAUGGGCGGUCGGCCGAUGGGGGUCGUCCCGAUGGGCGGCGUCAUGCGCGUCGUCGGCGGCGGGGUGGUCGUCGUCGUCGUCUCGUCGCCCGGAAGGAAGUACCUCCCUACGGACCGGCGGGAAACGACGACGACAGAGGACCUGCGGACGAAGACUCCUCCCUCCCUCCCUCCUUCUGCUGCUAGUUGAAGCACGUUGACCCUGACUCGAUAGGAAGAGACUGCCUCUUUACGACGAUCAUCGAAUUAAUAAUAAAGAGCAGCCCGUAAUAGCGGAGGAAACAAACUAGGUACAAAUACUUGGAGAGACGUAACGUUGAUAAGCGAACCAACAGCUGACUACUAAUACAAUACGGACCACGGAAGGCACACAUAUGACACAGCCAAA